GGCCCGGUUGCGGAUGGUCCGCACCUGCAAAAAAAACAUCGUGUUUGUGCUCAAGCUACAUCUGCAGGAAACGCUCGUUCGAAUCGAGCCCGGGCCA